UGACUUGGUUAAGAGGUUGAGCACAGAACCACUGCAGCUAAGACUAAAAUUUGGGGCGGUUUCUACCGGGUGCUAUCAAACAUUUCCUCAUUGUAGGAUUACUUUGAAGUCCUCCUAAAGUGAGACUGCAAACCUAAAGAGAACUGAGCUCAAAGACGGCCUGAUUAAGAAACGACUUUCUACACAAGCCAAGAAGAAAUGGAGUCUUCAGAUUAUGUUGCCAUCAUAAUUUGGAUAAACAUCCAUGUCUGCCUUCCCUUCACCUUUAUGGUCAUCGCUUUGUGUUAUGCGGUGCAGCUGGAUUUUGCUCCUCGUACCUGUUACAUCAACCUCCUUAUAUCUGAUGUAAUUCAUCUCAUCGCUCUUCUUGCUGUGGAAAAGGAACAAGCAAGUCCAGAUUAUAUUGGAUAUUAUGCUGGUUUCUGUGUCUUUAGUGGGAUGUUGAGUCUUUUCUUCAGGAUGAUCAUUGCUCUGGAGAGGCAUUUUUUCAUCUGCAACCCACAACUUCACUCAAAGAAAACUAAGCGUUAUGUGAUUUUAUGCAUUUUGACCUGGGUGUUGGGUUUUGUUCUUUAUUAUUUUUUCUUUCUGUACAUCUACGUUUUAUCUAUAAUCAUUUCCUUCAUACCUGCCCCUGUAUUCAUCUUCUGUCCCUUACGAACUCUCAAAUUGCUCCCUGCAGCUACAUCAUUACCUGCUGAGGAAAAACACAGAGCUGUAGGAAGUUUAUUUCUGUUGCUGGUGACUUACUGCAUCAUGAUUCUCCCAAUAACUUCUUAUUUCAUUAAUCCACAUUUCUAUUUAUACUAUGCGAGUUAUAACAGAUCAUUGAUCCUCUUUCUCCUCAAUCCUGUAAUGGAUCUGAUUCUGUUUGUUUUUUUGUGUGAAGGCCUCAUCGACAAGAUGUUGAUGUGUGUCUGUUGCUGUGGGAAGGAAAUCACUGCAGGAACCAGGAAGUAACAACAGCAGGAGUUUAAACGUAAUACAGGUUGAACGACAUCAUGAUAAUAGAGUCGAUGUCGACUAGUCGCGGUGAUGUCACAGUGACAUAAGCACAAAAUGCUUCACAACUACUUGGAGGCUUUAUCAGCUAUUUUCACGGCAGCGUACUUGGUUGUUUUUGUCUGUCUUUCUUCAUUGGGAAUCAGUCAGAGCUUGUUUGAAGAUAAUCUGUUAGUUUAUGUAAGGUGUGUUCGGCACAGGCCCACUUUCACAUCUUCACCUCCGUGUUUAUCGACUUAUGGUUCAGUUUCAUCCACAAGUUGGCAAAGGAAAUGUUUCUGAGGCACCCAAAUGUAGCAAAUAUGAUAAGAAAUUUGAUUUAUUGUUGCCAGUGAUGGUUAAAAAACCCUAUAACCGGUUUAUUCAUUGAAAUUAUCAAUAAAUAUCAAUAAUCUUGAAGAUAUUAUAACUCUGUGCAGUUUAGCAAUACAAAUUACACUUGUUUGUGUGACUUUUGUCUGAAAUAAAUGCAUUUCAACACUGCAAAAACUCUC